rnacentral:rRNA from 1 species
ACGGUACAGGACUUCGGUCGCUGACGAGUGGCGCACGGGUGAGUAACGCGUGGGUUACCUGCCCAUAAGUGGGGAACAACUUGGAGAAAUCCAAGCUAAUACCGCAUAAUACCUUCGGGUUAAAGAGGGGGAUCUUCGGACCUCCUCGCUUAUGGGAUGGUCCCGCGGUCUGAUUAACUAGUUGGGUAGGGGUAAAUGGCCCUACCAAGGCCAAUGAUCAGUAGCUGGGUCUGAGAGAGAUGAUCAAUCACACUGGAACUGAGACACGGUCCACACUCCUACGGGAGGCAGCAGUGGGGAAUUUUGCACAAUGGGCGAAAGCCUGAUGCAGCGACGCCGCGUGCGGGAAGAAGGCCUUCGGGUUGUAAACCGCUUUCAACAGGGAAGAAGGAAUGAGAGCUAGUACCUCUCUGCCUUGACGGUACCUGUAGAAGAAGCACCGGCUAAUUUCGUGCCAGCAGCCGCGGUAAUACGAAAGGUGCAAGCGUUGUUCGGAUUUACUGGGCGUAAAGAGAUCGUAGGUGGCUUGUUAAGUCGGAUGUGAAAUCCCGGGGCUCAACCCCGGAACUGCAUCCGAUACUGGCAAGCUUGAGUUUGGGAGGGGUAAGCGGAAUUCCUUGUGUAGCAGUGAAAUGCGUAGAUAUACGGAGGAACACCUGAGGCGAAGGCGGCUUACUGGACCAAUACUGACACUGAGGAUCGAAAGCGUGGGUAGCAAACAGGAUUAGAUACCCUGGUAUUCACGCCCUAAACGAUGUCAACUACCCGUUGCGGGUAUCGACCCUGCAGUGGCGCACUAACGCGAUA